UACGUAGGGGGCAAGCGUUGUUCGGAAUUACUGGGCGUAAAGGGCGCGUAGGCGGCACGACAAGUCGGGCGUGAAAGCCCGGGGCUCAACCCCGGAAUGUCUCUCGAAACUGUCGAGCUAGAGUGCGGAAGAGGCAACUGGAAUUCCCAGUGUAGCGGUGAAAUGCGUAGAUAUUGGGAAGAACACCUGAGGCGAAGGCGGGUUGCUGGGCCGACACUGACGCUGAGGCGCGAAAGCCAGGGGAGCGAACGGG
rnacentral:rRNA from 1 species